GGAACACGGUUCAAGGAGUGUUACGAAUGUGCGAGUGUUUUGGUGAUGAAAACCAGAGCGCGAAGUGAAAGCGAAGCUAUGGUACUGCCAUCAGUAUCGGCCGAUCAUGAUCUACGGUGAAAGAUUUGAGUUGGAGCGGAUUCGUAGCGACCCGAAAGAUGGUGAACUAUGCUUGAAUAGGGUGAAGCCAGAGGAAACUCUGGUGGAGGCUCGCAGCGGUUCUGACGUGCAAAUCGAUCGUCAAAUUUGGGUAUAGGGGCGAAAGACUAAUCGAACCGUCUAGUAGC
rnacentral:rRNA from 1 species